AGUAACCUGCCUUGGAGUGGGGAAUAACAGUUGGAAACAGCUGCUAAUACCGCAUGAUGCAGUUGAGUCGCAUGGCUCUGACUGCCAAAGAUUUAUCGCUCUGAGAUGGACUCGCGUCUGAUUAGCUAGUUGGCGGGGUAACGGCCCACCAAGGCGACGAUCAGUAGCCGGACUGAGAGGUUGGCCGGCCACAUUGGGACUGAGACACGGCCCAGACUCCUACGGAAGGCAGCAG
rnacentral:rRNA from 1 species